rnacentral:rRNA from 1 species
GGGACACGUGGUAUCCUGUCUGAAUAUGGGGGGACCAUCCUCCAAGGCUAAAUACUCCUGACUGACCGAUAGUGAACCAGUACCGUGAGGGAAAGGCGAAAAGAACCCCGGCGAGGGGAGUGAAAAAGAACCUGAAACCGUGUACGUACAAGCAGUGGGAGCACGCUUAGGCGUGUGACUGCGUACCUUUUGUAUAAUGGGUCAGCGACUUAUAUUCUGUAGCAAGGUUAACCGAAUAGGGGAGCCGAAGGGAAACCGAGUCUUAACUGGGCGUUAAGUUGCAGGGUAUAGACCCGAAACCCGGUGAUCUAGCCAUGGGCAGGUUGAAGGUUGGGUAACACUAACUGGAGGACCGAACCGACUAAUGUUGAAAAAUUAGCGGAUGACUUGUGGCUGGGGGUGAAAGGCCAAUCAAACCGGGAGAUAGCUGGUUCUCCCCGAAAGCUAUUUAGGUAGCGCCUCGUGAAUUCAUCUCCGGGGGUAGAGCACUGUUUCGGCAAGGGGGUCAUCCCGACUUACCAACCCGAUGCAAACUGCGAAUACCGGAGAAUGUUAUCACGGGAGACACACGGCGGGUGCUAACGUCCGUCGUGAAGAGGGAAACAACCCAGACCGCCAGCUAAGGU